UCCUAUUAUUUCGGUUAUGUCGCCAGCCC
rnacentral:sRNA from 1 species